AUUGAACGCUGGCGGCAUGCCUUACACAUGCAAGUCGAACGGCAGCACGGGUGCUUGCACCUGGCGGCGAGUGGCGAACGGGUGAGUAAUACAUCGGAACAUGUCCUGUAGUGGGGGAUAGCCCGGCGAAAGCCGGAUUAAUACCGCAUACGAUCUACGGAUGAAAGCGGGGGACCUUCGGGCCUCGCGCUAUCGGGUUGGCCGAUGGCUGAUUAGCUAGUUGGUGGGGUAAAGGCCUACCAAGGCGACGAUCAGUAGCUGGUCUGAGAGGACGACCAGCCGCACUGGCACUGAGACACGGCCCAGACUCCUACGGGAGGCAACAGUAGGGAAUUUUGGACAAUGGGCGAAAGCCUGAUCCAGCAAUGCCGCGUGUGUGAAGAAGGCCUUCGGGUUGUAAAGCACUUUUGUCCGGAAAGAAAUCCUUGGCCCUAAUACGGUCGGGGGAUGACGGUACCGGAAGAAUAAGCACCGGCUAACUACGUG
rnacentral:rRNA from 1 species